UACGGAGGGUGCAAGCGUUAAUCGGAAUUACUGGGCGUAAAGCGUGCGCAGGCGGUUUGUUAAGACAGAUGUGAAAUCCCCGGGCUUAACCUGGGAACUGCAUUUGUGACUGGCAAGCUAGAGUAUGGCAGAGGGGGGUAGAAUUCCACGUGUAGCAGUGAAAUGCGUAGAGAUGUGGAGGAAUACCGAUGGCGAAGGCAGCCCCCUGGGCCAAUACUGACGCUCAUGCACGAAAGCGUGGGGAGCAAACAGG
rnacentral:rRNA from 1 species